rnacentral:sRNA from 1 species
UACUCGCGUUAGCGGUAGAAGCGGCAUCCUUUUUUUUACAUCCUAUUAUAAUGAUACAAUAAUAACAUAGUAUAUAGGAUAACAUAUUCUACCUUUAUAUGAACCUAGUAAAAAAAGAUAUAGCGCAUGACGCGACCCUUU